rnacentral:rRNA from 1 species
AGGACGAACGCUGGCGGCGUGCUUAACACAUGCAAGUCGAGCGGAAAGGCCCUUCGGGGUACUCGAGCGGCGAACGGGUGAGUAACACGUGAGCAACCUGCCCCUGGCUCUGGGAUAGCCUCCGGAAACGGGGAUUAAUACCGGACAUGACCUCUAGACCGCAUGGUUGGGGGUGGAAAGUUUUUCGGCCAGGGUGGGCUCGCGGCCUAUCGAGCUUGGUUGGGGGGUGACGGCCCACGAAGGCGACGACGGGUA